UUCCAGCAUCAAUUUAUGACAGUUUGGCUAGGUAUAGAAUUCCAGGUUAGAAUUCUUUCUCCACCAGAACUCUGAAGGCAUUGACCAUUAUCUUGCUACUCCAUGAUGAUGUUAAAAAGAUCAAACCUAUUUUGAUUCCUGAUAUAUUCCUUUUCAUACGCCCUUUGGUUCCUUUGUACAUAAUCUUUCCUUCUCUCCCCAUCCCCCAUCUCCCUGGAGACCUAUAGAAUCUUCUAAUUGCACCCAUCAAAGUUCAUGGUAAUGUGCUUUAGUGUGAGUUUAUUUUUACACAUUGUGCUGGUUACUCAGUGAAUGCUGUCAACUUGACAGUGCGUAUCUUUCAAUUCUGGCAAAUUUUUUUGUUGAUGAUUUUCUCUAUUAU
rnacentral:lncRNA from 10 species